AAGUCGUAACAAGGUUUCCGUAGGUGAACCUGCGGAAGGAUCAUUAGUGAAUCGAUAGAGUGCUCGCAAGAGGCUCGUCUUCAUUAUAUCACACACACUAGUGCACUUGAAACACAAUUCAUUGGAGCUUGCUUGGCAACGAGCAGGACCCUUUGGAAAAAUUUAUAACUCCAUUGCUUUAAAAGAGAUGAGAAUGUUAAUCAUAUUAAACGAAAGUACAA
rnacentral:misc_RNA from 1 species